rnacentral:rRNA from 1 species
CGGGGUACUCGAGCGGCGAACGGGUGAGUAACACGUGAGUAACCUGCCCCCGACUCUGGGAUAAGCCCGGGAAACUGGGUCUAAUACCGGAUACGACACCUCCUCGCAUGGGGUGGGUGUGGAAAGUUUUUUCGGUUGGGGAUGGACUCGCGGCCUAUCAGCUUGUUGGUGGGGUAACGGCCUACCAAGGCGACGACGGGUAGCCGGCCUGAGAGGGCGACCGGCCACACUGGGACUGAGACACGGCCCAGACUCCUACGGGAGGCAGCAGUGGGGAAUAUUGCGCAAUGGGCGAAAGCCUGACGCAGCGACGCCGCGUGGGGGAUGACGGCCUUCGGGUUGUAAACCUCUUUCAGCAGGGACGAAGUUGACGUGUACCUGCAGAAGAAGCGCCGGCUAACUACGUGCCAGCAGCCGCGGUAAUACGUAGGGCGCAAGCGUUGUCCGGAAUUAUUGGGCGUAAAGAGCUCGUAGGUGGCUUGUCACGUCGGGUGUGAAAGCUUGGGGCUUAACUCCAGGUCUGCAUUCGAUACGGGCUGGCUAGAGGUAGGUAGGGGAGAACGGAAUUCCUGGUGUAGCGGUGAAAUGCGCAGAUAUCAGGAGGAACACCGGUGGCGAAGGCGGUUCUCUGGGCCUUACCUGACGCUGAGGAGCGAAAGCGUGGGGAGCGAACAGGAUUAGAUACCCUGGUAGUCCACGCUGUAAACGUUGGGCGCUAGGUGUGGGGACCUUCCACGGUUUCCGCGCCGUAGCUAACGC